rnacentral:rRNA from 1 species
AGUGAACGUUAGCGGCGUGGAUUAGGCAUGCAAGUCGAGCGAGAACCGUAGCAAUACGGGGACAGCGGCGAAAGGGACAGUAAUGUGUAGGUACCUACCCCCGGGUUCGGGAUAGCUGCGGGAAACUGCAGGUAAUACCGAAUAAUGUCUCCGGACCAAAGGUGUGAUUCCACCUGGGGAGGGGCCUGCAUCCUAUUAGCUUGUUGGUGGGGUAACGGCCUACCAAGGCGACGAUGGGUAGCGGGUGUGAGAGCAUGACCCGCGUCAUUGGGACUGAGACACUGCCCAGACACCUACGGGUGGCUGCAGUCGAGAAUCUUCGGCAAUGGGCGCAAGCCUGACCGAACGACGCCGCGUGCGGGAUGAAGGCCUUCGGGUUGUAAACCGCUGUCGUAGAGGAGGAAAUGCAGGGGGGUUCUCCCCUUUGCUUGACCUAUUCUAGGAGGAAGUACGGGCUAAGUUCGUGCCAGCCGCCGCUGUAA